CCUACGGGUGGCUGCAGUGGGGAAUCUUGCGCAAUGGGCGAAAGCCUGACGCAGCGACGCCGCGUGAGCGAUGAAUGCCUUCGGGUUGUAAAGCUCUGUGGGGAGAGAAGAAUAAGGGUUGGCUAACAUCCAACCUGAUGACGGUAUCUCCUUAGCAAGCACCGGCUAACUCUGUGCCAGCAGCCGCGGUAAGACAGAGGGUGCAAACGUUGUUCGGAAUCACUGGGCGGAAAGCGCGUGUAGGCGACUUGAAAGCCCACGGCUCAAGCAUGGAAGUGCAUUCGAAACUGCCAGACUAGAGUCCUGGAGGGGAAGGCGGAAUACUCGGUGUAGAGGUGAAAUUCGUAGAUAUCGAGUGGAACACCGGUGGCGAAGGCGGCCUUCUGGACAGUGACUGACGCUGAAACGCGAAAGCGUGGGGAGCAAACAGGAUUAGAUACCCCUGUAGUC
rnacentral:rRNA from 1 species